GACAUGGCCGAGCGGUCUAAGGCGCAGGAGUAAGGUUCCUGUUCGAAAGAGCGUGGGUUCAAAUCCCACUGUCC
rnacentral:tRNA from 1 species